UUCUUCUCCUGUCUUUUUCUCUGUCGCUUUUGUUUUCAGAUCCAAAAUUUUUUAAAGUGUCUAGACACACAAAACUCAUCUUUUCUCUCGUAUCUCCAGUUUCCUUCUCCAUACAGAUACAUGGAAGGUCACGAGACAAGUCACAACAACAGAGGAGGAGCAUCCCAUCUACUCUAUUAUCUCUCUCCACCGCUCUUUGUCUCUCUCUCAGUGUCCUGCGGUGACGGAGAUUGAACCGUGAUGCCUCCUCUCUGUUCUGUGACGAAGUGACGCCUCCUCCCCUACUUUGUGACAGAUCUUUUCUUCUCCCUCGUCUGUCAAUUUCUGAUAUCUUUCGUUUCACAGAAUCAGAGCAAGGCCGGAGAAGACAGAGCAGCGGCGUCGGAGAAGACAGAGCAGCGGCGCCGGGGAAGACAGAGCAGCGGCGACAGCAGCGGCGUCGGAGAUGGUACCGAAGCGGGGCUGGUUGACGGCGUAGGUUAAAGCAGAGCUUGGUUUGACAGCUGAAUUAGGUUUAGCUAAAGUCAAUUUGUUUAGUUAGGGUUUAGUUAAUCAGCCAAUUGGUAAUUGUAACCAAUUACUGUACCAAUUUCUAAUUGUAAACCAUGUAUCCAAAUUUCAAUUUGUAAUAUAACUCGAUUUAGUUAUAAAUAAAUCUUUAUUUUAUGUU